UUGGAGUUUCCAUUUAAGAUUUUUAUAUUAAUCUUGACUGCAGCGUGAGCAUUUUGUUCUUGGUGCUUUGGAACACAGCCGAUGAUUUAGCAUAAGAACAUGUUUCGGAAAAAGUAGUUUUCUCAUUGGACGAUAAGCUGCAUUUCAAACUGCAUCGAAACAUAUGUUCAAACCAUUAUGAAAUGUAUUUCUCUAUGGCCCGAUUAUUUUAACCGAAAAGUAAGUUAACGAACAGUUAAAUUAUAUGUCUGUCUCUGUUUGUUUCGAACGAAAAACAAAGAUAGGCAUAUGAUUUAAUUGUUAGUCAACUUACCUUUCAGUUAGAACAACCGGGCCUAUUUCAGUAUUGCAAGGAUGACUUCGGGAUAUAUAGAAUUUAUCACGAUCUUGUGGAUCUUGUGGAUGUCCUUAGCACCACUUUUGGUACUUGAAAGAUACCUUACGGAUAUUAGUAGGAUCAUAUAAUGUUAUGUGUACAUAUUUUCAUGACAUCCACGUAUCACUUCUUUUGGAUGUUAAUGAGCAGACAUAGAAACGUCCUCGGUACAUCCUAUGUAUAUAUUUCGGUCUUUACGAAUGUAUUUCGCAUAUCACUAAAUCCCUUGUGAUAUAUCUAUUGGACGUACCUAGAAUCAAGUUUUGCUAUGUGGGGAAACAUUUCGUGAUCAAGAUACUGCCAUUUCCAAAUCUAUUGUUGAGAGAACAAUAAAGCAUUUUGAGGAAACUGGUAAUAUGAAAAAUUGUGCAAUAUCAGGUAAAUCUGCAUUAGCAACAAAUCCAGAAAAAUCAUUAGAUGUUUCAUAAUCCUUUAUCGAAAAUUCGCAUGAUUCUAUUCAGCAAAGUAGGAAAAUGAUCUAGAUAAAAAAUCUGUGCUUAAAAUAUUAAAACUUAAUAAAUUUCAUUUUUAUAAAGUCCAUCUCGUGCAAGAGAUUAAAACCUUUCUACGGCACCACAUUUGUUAGAUUUAUUACCCGAUUUCCCACUCCAUUAUUCAGAAGACCACGUUUUUGUAAUGAAUUACAAACAAGUACAGACGUACGAAAACAAUUUGAAAAGAAAAUUCGGAUAAUUGGUGGACAAACUGCAAUGAAACAUUUAAGCAAUAGUUUAGUUAUAGCGUUAACAAACAAAUUAGCAAAAGAAAUAAUUUGGGAUGAUCAACGAAAGACCGAGGGGAUAAAAACACCACGUUUUCCAAUGAACGAUUUUACACUUAUAUCAGUCAGCCAUCUACAGCGAGUUGAGCAAUAAAUUCUCCGAGUGGUUGAGAAGAACUGGAGACAGAUUUCGUUAUCAUUUGAAGUUGGGGCAUGAAUCUUAAUUAUGUCAGAGGACUUUUAUUUUUUUGUUUUGCUGAUAUUUUUUGUUUUGUUUAUCUAAUAUGACAUUUCAGUUUCAAACAGUAUAAUAUUUAACAUAAAGUCAC